UCAUUAAAAGGUACUUUAUGUGUGAAACUCUUCCCACACUGAUAACAUGCAUAUGGUUUCUCUAUAGUGUGGAUUUUCUUGUGUACAUUAAGGUUUCCUUUUAUUGUAAAAAUCUUCUCGCACUCAUCACAUGUAUAUGGCUCCCUCCAAAAUUAAAUAUUAUCUCAAGCUCAAGAUUUCGCUUGCAUGUGUUGUGGCAAAAGCAAUUACUAACAAAUAGCAUCUCAGUGUAAGAGACAAGGAAUCAAAUUAUAUUUAAGGAAAGAAGUUUAUUUUCCUUAAAGAGGUGCGUUCACUGUUUCAGCAGCUACCCUGAAACACAACAGACCUGAAUCACACUGAAAACAGACAGCCUUAUUAUACUGUUAUCACCCCCACUUCUUACAAGGCUCCUUCUCUGUAAAUUUCCACUUAACCCCGUAAACCAAAACUAGCUGUUUUCAGAAAACACAAUGGUCCUCCUAACCCCCUGGGCUUUUAUUAUCUUCACACCCGCGAGGUCAAAGGUCUUUAUUUAUGGAUAACCCCUCUGAUCUUUCCUGAGUAAAUUACCCACACUAAAGACUUCAAAGGCUCUUUGUUUCACUGUGUGAUGUCUUCGUUGCAUUUCAGGUGACAAACAUACAUACUGAGAGAGAAAUACAAGUUAAAUCAAAAGGAAAAACAAAAAUAUAUGAAAACCCACUAAAUGUCUAAGAAAGUAAAUAAGAAAGAGUAAAAUAUACAUUUUUCUACAACACAUGAGAAACUCUUUCCACAGUGAAAAAGCAAGUGAUAUCUCCAGGAUAUCUCUUCUGUUUUGACCUGAUGUUUCUCCCCCGCUUCAAUGACUUCUUCAAUCUCCUUGUUGCAACCCGUUCUCACCUAUCUGCGUAUAAAUAACACGACUUUACACUAUCAAAUUGCAUGUAAUGCGUACGCCAAAUUCCAAUUUUGCAUGCAUAUGAUACGCCAAUCCUUCCCAUUAAAUUCAGUGGAGAGCAGAUGCGUCUAAAUACCACGCGCAUCACCUUCAACUGCGGUGACGUUACCAGGGAGGCUCACUUCGUCUUUUCACCUGCAGCUGAUGCGCGUCCGGUUAAAACUUCAAACAGUUAAAAUGCCAGGUGGAUCAACUCUUCGACAGUGCACCCAUUGCAUGGAAAAGUUCAAUUGUGCCAAAAGAAGAUGCACUAAGUGACAAUAAAACAGGAGUUUGCAGUGGAGACAUUAAGUUCAUCAUACAAAAGACAGAAAGAGUUUUGUUUUGUACACUACAAAUUUGCAUCACCGUAGGUAUUUUUCAAAAUUAUACAUUUCCCACCUGAUGGAAUGGUACCUGUUGUUAUUGAAUUUUUGACUAAUAACAUUCUCUUACAAGGCUACAUAUUUGACAUUGAACCUGUCUAUUCCAGACAGUACUUUGUAUUGCAGUAAAUCUCAACUGUGGUCACUCAGUUCUUUUAGAUUAUCCAUAUUUUAAGAAAAUGGCAACAUCUCCACUGUCGCAUACAAUAAUGACUGAAAUAAUGAGCUUAAAGGGAUAGUUCACCCAAAAUAAUU